rnacentral:rRNA from 1 species
UGGGGAAUAUUGGACAAUGGGCGAAAGCCUGAUCCAGCCAUGCCGCGUGUGUGAAGAAGGUCUUCGGAUUGUAAAGCACUUUCAGUUGGGAGGAAGGGCAGUAAGCGAAUACCUUGCUGUUUUGACGUUACCGACAGAAUAAGCACCGGCUAACUCUGUGCCAGCAGCCGCGGUAAUACAGAGGGUGCGAGCGUUAAUCGGAUUUACUGGGCGUAAAGCGUGCGUAGGCGGCUAAUUGAGUCGGAUGUGAAAUCCCCGAGCUUAACUUGGGAAUUGCAUUCGAUACUGGUUAGCUAGAGUGUGGGAGAGGAUGGUAGAAUUCCAGGUGUAGCGGUGAAAUGCGUAGAUAUAGGAAGGAACACCAGUGGCGAAGGCGACCACCUGGGCUCAUACUGACACUGAGGUGCGAAAGCGUGGGGAGCAAACAGG